rnacentral:rRNA from 1 species
UGGGGAAUAUUGGGCAAUGGAGGCAACUCUGACCCAGCCAUGCCGCGUGGGUGACGAAGGUCUUCGGAUUGUAAAGCCCUUUCGGCGGGGACGAUGAUGACGGUACCCGCAGAAGAAGCCCCGGCUAACUUCGUGCCAGCAGCCGCGGUAAUACGAAGGGGGCUAGCGUUGUUCGGAAUUACUGGGCGUAAAGGGCGUGUAGGCGGCCCGCUAAGUCAGGUGUGAAAUUCCUGGGCUCAACCCAGGACGUGCACUUGAGCCUGACGGGCUUGAGUCCGGGAGAGGAUGGUGGAACUCCCAGUGUAGAGGUGAAAUUCGUAGAUAUUGGGAAGAACACCCGUGGCGAAGGCGGCCAUCUGGACCGGUACUGACGCUAAGGCGCGACAGCGUGGGGAGCAAACAG